rnacentral:sRNA from 1 species
UCUCCAUGCGAAUCUCAAUCUCAAUCUCAAUUUUCGCCAUUUUCGGCACUCGCAAUUCGCAAUCUUAGCUGUAUGGAAGUUUCUGCAUUAAUAUGCCAGUAGGUGACUCCACCAAAUGACCUCGGGCUGUCAAUUCGAGUCAUGUGUGCGUAUGGCGGCGAUGGCAAAUAUAGCCACGAACUUUGCUAAUGGAUGCACACCAUGUCAAAUUGAAUUUAUUUCGAGGCAGCCUAAGAAUAAUACGCCAGUAGAUUUCUCAUGUUUAAUUUAUCGUUCGUCCUUGCCGCUUGUCGCUUCACAUUAAGCAGCCACUCAUGAUGAAGAGAAGCUGCGCAGAAGUUUCCCUUUCCGAGGGAAAAUAAAAAAUGUGCGCAAAAUUACAGUGCAACUUUUCGACCAGCUACAACAAUUUUAAUGAAACUUUUCUCGGCUCUAACUCAACUUGCCAUCCAUACCCAACUGGCCCUCCUGGCCCACCUGGCCAUUCUGGAUGUCCUGGUGUUAAUGAAAAGUCAGGAGCUAAGCAGACUACGUGCCCAGCAGCGGGCAUCUUACCCAGAGCAUUCUCGUAAUAUUAUUAAUAAUGUGGGUAAAGUGGAGGAAACGUGUCGGCUUUGUGGGCCGAAAUGGGAGCUGAACUUUUCGUGGAAAGAACCAAGCUCCCCCAUCAAUGUUGGCCCGAUUUCACAACUCCCCGGGAAAAUCCAUGCACAGCAGCACAGCACUAAAAAUGUCAAAAGUUAUAAAUAAUUUUCCAUAUAGAAAAGUGAUAUGUUCAAAACAUGUUGUCAGGGCACCGCAGAAAGUCCGAGCCAUGUGGCCGCCAGGAUCCCUAAUCCCUGUCCCAAUGCCAAUCCCCUCGGGAUUCCUGUCCCAGUUUGCAAUUUGCGAAAAAUUGCCAAGGCAAAAACUUGAAAGUAAACAAACAAACACAUCACCAGCUGCCAGCCAAAAAGCAGCAGAUCGCAGUUCUGUGGAGUCCGGGAAACUUCGGGAAGUUGGGUUCGGAUGGUUGGAUGGCUGGAUGGCUUGCAGGAGUUAUGUUGAUUUGCACAUGUUUAUGUCCAGUUAGGAGCACCUGGAAGGAGCAGCUCCUUGUUUUGGCCAUAUGAGUUUUGGCAACGGCACACGGGGCGGAAAACAGCGACAUGAAA